UUCAAUCGGUCUCUGUUGUAACACAGAGCUUCAAAGUGUUUCCUCACACUCUCCCUCCUCUAAAGUCGAAACUGGAGCUAAAGAAGCUGGACUAUAUAGUUCACAUACAUAAUUGACAAUAAGAGGAAGCUUGGAUGGGAAGUCGUCUCGAAUCAGGUUGUGACAACGACAUGUGACAUCUUUGUCAAAGGACACUUGACUGAGACAUAUCUGGUUAUUAAAUACCUUAGGAUCUCUGGUGAACCUGAGGAAUUUCGGACCCCUCUUCCCUCGAGAUCAAGUCUGGGCGAGUAAAGAUGUGUGCAAACGAACUAAAAGAGGUGAGAGUUGAGGAUGCUUUACUUGAACAUCCUGCGCAGAGGGCUGUCUCCUGUCAUGACCUCUGUAAGGACACGGAUCAUCGCAAACUAGCCAUUUGCAGCAUCAUAUGUGGCCUCUCCUGCUUAGGAAUUAUGUCCCUCAAGUACUCUGUCAAGGCUCGAGAGACAAGAAAACAACUUCAAAAUGAAGAUUGUCCAGCAACAAGAGAGAAGGCCAAAAAAUACUCCAAAAAGGCGUGUAAAUGGGGAAUAUGCUCCAUUGUGGCCUGGGUGGUUUUAAUUCUCAUCUUUCCUUUGCUUCUGGGAUUUGUGUCCUUUGUUGUAACCUUCAUAGACUAAUACUGAGGAGGCCUUUCUCCAGUUAAACGAGCUACCAAAGCAGAGUUGUAGAAGCACAGAAACACUCUUUCAGUGCUCACGUUGGACACCGCACCUAGACCAUCCAAAAAUGUAACUUUAUGACAACAGGUUGGACAUUAAUCAUUAUUUAAAUUAUGUUUCCAAGGGUGCUUGUCCUUAGAUUGGAUCAAAGGCCAACAACUUGCUACCUAUAACAAAGAGGAUUCAACAGUUUGCACAAAGGACUAAAAAUAGCUUUCAUGUAUUUUCGUAGUAGUGAAAUCACUGCAAUUAAACAUUUAAAAUGGCACUUAAAACACAGCAACUUUCUGGAAUUUGUUAUAUCCAUGAGAUAAUCAGCACUGUGCAGACAGAAGCUACUUUUACACUUCAGCAAGCCGAGUUUAUUUAUGGUCUUAAACUGGAAACGAGACACUGAGACACUUGCAGAGAGCAUGAAAGUCAAACGUUGAGAUAUGGAUGUGGUUACAUUAUUAACAUUCUGUUCUUGUAAAUACGUUGAACUGUUGCAAUACCUUGUGCUUUUUUUAAAGUUUUAUACACCGUAUGUAUUUUAGAGUUUGUAAUAAAAUGUGUAACAGUCAAAAUG